UACGGGGGGGGCAAGCGUUGUUCGGAAUUACUGGGCGUAAAGGGCUCGUAGGUGGCCAACUAAGUCAGACGUGAAAUCCCUCAGCUUAACUGGGGAACUGCGUCUGAUACUGGAUGGCUUGAGUUUGGGAGAGGGAUGCGGAAUUCCAGGUGUAGCGGUGAAAUGCGUAGAUAUCUGGAGGAACACCGAUGGCGAAGGCAGCUCGCUGGGACGGUACUGACGCUAAGGCGCGAAAGCGUGGGGAGCAAACAGG
rnacentral:rRNA from 1 species